rnacentral:rRNA from 1 species
AUUGAACGCUGGCGGCAGGCCUAACACAUGCAAGUCGAGCGGAUCGGCGGACGGGUGCGUAAUGCCUAGGAAUCUGCCUGGUAGUGGGGGAUAACGUCCGGAAACGGGCCCUAAUACCGUACGCUUGUAGAUGGACCUGCUUUGUAUUAGCUAGUAGGUGGGGUAAUGGCCUCCCUAGGCAACGAUACAUAGCCGACCUGAGAGGUUGACCGGCCACACGGGGACUGAGACACGGUCCAGACUCCUACGGGAGGCAGCAGUGGGGAAUAUUGGACAAUGGGCGAAAGCCUGAUCCAGCCAUGCCGCGUGUAUGAAGAAGGUCUUCGGAUUGUAAAGCACUUUAAGUUGGGAGGCGUUACCAACAGAAUAAGCACCGGCUAACUUCGUGCCAGCAGCCGCGGUAAUUC